UACGUAGGGUGCAAGCGUUAAUCGGAAUUACUGGGCGUAAAGCGUGCGCAGGCGGCUUUGCAAGACAGAUGUGAAAUCCCCGGGCUUAACCUGGGAACCGCAUUUGUGACUGCAUAGCUGGAGUACGGCAGAGGGGGAUGGAAUUCCGCGUGUAGCAGUGAAAUGCGUAGAUAUGCGGAGGAACACCGAUGGCGAAGGCAGUCCCCUGGGCCUGUACUGACGCUCGUGCACGAAAGCGUGGGGAGCAAACAGG
rnacentral:rRNA from 1 species